AUUGAACGCUGGCGGCAGGCCUAACACAUGCAAGUCGAGCGGAUGAAGGGAGCUUGCUCCUGGAUUCAGCGGCGGACGGGUGAGUAAUGCCUAGGAAUCUGCCUGGUAGUGGGGGAUAACGUCCGGAAACGGGCGCUAAUACCGCAUACGUCCUGAGGGAGAAAGUGGGGGAUCUUCGGACCUCACGCUAUCAGAUGAGCCUAGGUCGGAUUAGCUAGUUGGUGGGGUAAAGGCCUACCAAGGCGACGAUCCGUAACCGGUCUGAGAGGAUGAUCAGUCACACUGGAACUGAGACACGGUCCAGACUCCUACGGGAGGCAGCAGUGGGGAAUAUUGGACAAUGGGCGAAAGCCUGAUCCAGCCAUGCCGCGUGUGUGAAGAAGGUCUUCGGACUGUAAAGCACUUUAAGUUGGGAGGAAGGGCAGUAAGUUAAUACCUUGCUGUUUUGACGUUACCAACAGAAUAAGCACCGGCUAACUUCGUG
rnacentral:rRNA from 1 species